AUUGAACGCUGGCGGCAGGCCUAACACAUGCAAGUCGAGCGAGAAAGGUCUUCGUACUGAGUACAGCGGCGGACGGGUGAGUAACGCGUAGGAAUCUACCCAGUAGUGGGGGACAACUUGGGGAAACUCAAGCUAAUACCGCAUACGCCCUAUGGGGGAAAGCGGGGGAUCUUCGGACCUCGCGCUAUUGGAUGAGCCUGCGUCGGAUUAGCUAGUUGGUGGGGUAAAAGCCUACCAAGGCGACGAUCCGUAGCUGGUCUGAGAGGACGAUCAGCCACACUGGGACUGAGACACGGCCCAGACUCCUACGGGAGGCAGCAGUGGGGAAUAUUGCGCAAUGGGGGAAACCCUGACGCAGCCAUGCCGCGUGUGUGAAGAAGGCUCUAGGGUUGUAAAGCACUUUCAGCAGUGAGAAAAAGCCACCGGAUAAUACCCGUUGGUCUUGAUGUUAACUGUAGAAGAAGCACCGGCUAACUCCGU
rnacentral:rRNA from 1 species